UACGUAGGGGGCAAGCGUUGUCCGGAUUUAUUGGGCGUAAAGAUCGUGUAGGCGGCUUUGCACGUCCGUUGUGAAAACUCGAGGCUCAACCUCGAGACGCCGGUGGAAACUGCAAAGCUAGAGUCCGGAAGAGGAGAGUGGAAUUCCUGGUGUAGCGGUGAAAUGCGCAGAUAUCAGGAGGAACACCGGUGGCGAAGGCGGGUCUCUGGGCCGAUACUGACGCUGAGGAGCGAAAGCGUGGGGAGCGAACAGG
rnacentral:rRNA from 1 species